rnacentral:rRNA from 1 species
UUAAAUUGAAGAGUUUGAUCAUGGCUCAGAUUGAACGCUGGCGGCAGGCCUAACACAUGCAAGUCGAACGGUAACAGGAAGCAGCUUGCUGCUUCGCUGACGAGUGGCGGACGGGUGAGUAAUGUCUGGGAAACUGCCUGAUGGAGGGGGAUAACUACUGGAAACGGUAGCUAAUACCGCAUAACGUCGCAAGACC